rnacentral:rRNA from 1 species
GCAAAAUCAUUUGCCUCUUAAUUAGUGGCCGGUAUGAACGGACACAUGAAAGUUGACCUGUCUCUUACUCACAAAUAAAACUUAACCUCCAGGUGAAAAGGCCUGGAUAGCCCUAUAGGACAAGAAGACCCUAUCAAGCUUUAUUGAAAAGCUCUUCGAAUAAUAUACUUAUACCUAACCCAGCGCCCAUCAAUUUAGUUGGGGCGACUGAGGACCAAAAAAAACGUCCUCCCCACCCUCAGGGAAAUAACCCCCAAACUGAUCCUUCUUCAGAUAAAGAGAAAAGCUACUGUAGGGAUAACAGGCUAAUUUUCCCUGAGAGUCCGCAUUGAAAGGAAAGUUUGGCACCUCGAUGUUGGCUUAAGACACCCGUAAAGUGCAGCAGCUUUAUAUGGUAGGUUUGUUCACCCUUUAAAGUCUU